CCUUCUCGCCUCAACUCAGUGCCUCCUUUCCUCUUCUUUCUUCUUGGUCAUUGACUUCAAAGGUCCAGUCCCCUCUUUCAUCAUCACACACCAGGGAGGGAGGUCCCAGGAGGGGCGCCACACUUCUCUGCCAGAUGCUCCCUCUCAGCCUUGUGCUCCCAGACCCUGCCUCCCUGAGUCUUCUUCCCAGAGUUCCUGAAGGGUAAGGGCGGGAAGAACUCCAGCAAGAGUGGGGUUCGUGGGACCAGAGGUCAGAGGGCAAAGCCUGGGUUCCAGGUGUGUGGUUCACAGAACCAGGCAACCUGUUGCUAGGUAACCAAUUUCCCAUCAUCCAACCCAACACAUCGUCCUCAGCUGCCUACCCUCGGCUUCCAGCUGGCUUUGGCUGAAUCUCUCAAACACCCACCCUAAAGGAGGAGGAGGGGACAAGCAAGAGCACAGCCCCCAGCACCUUUGAGUCCUCUGUGGCUCUGCCACCCACGAUUUCACUGUGAAGUCAGGUGCCCGGAGCCCGGGCCUUUAGGUCACUGCCACCAUGAGUCUGGGCAUCAUGGAAGAGGAAGACCUGGCUGAAUACUUCCGGCUUCAGUAUGGGGAGCGCCUACUGCAACUGCUGCAGAAGUUCCCCAAUAUGCAAGAACAGUCAGAUUCCCCAUCCAUCCAGCUAUUGGAAAAGAAAAAGGAAGCCAAGAUCAUGCAUCAUGCUAUGGAACAGAAGAAGGAGACAUUUAAGCGCAGAAUGGAAAGCCUCAACCUGCGCUGGGAGGAACUGGGAGUCAAGGAAGAACAGCUGAAAGCCCACAUCCAGAAAUUUGAGCAGUUCAUCCAGGAAAAUGACCAGAAACGGAUCCGAGCCCUGAAGAAAGCCAACAAGGAGCGGGAACUCAAAAGGCAGCGCCUCCGGGAACUGGCUAAGGCCAAGCAGGAGAUGGCGGCCUUGCGGCUGGAGCACCAGCGGCUGAGCGUCAAGCUGCAGAACUACUCCAUCUUCAACAAGUACCUGGAAAAGGUGGUGGAGAACUCCGAGUUUGAGGAGAUCCAUGAGGUGAUCGGACGCUACAAGACGUUGAUGAGCAUGCACCAUGAUCUCAUGCAAUCAGCGCAGGAGAGCCAGGAGCAGAUAGAGCGUGCCAAGGCGCGACUGGCUCGCUACAUGGAGGAAAAGGACGAUGAGAUUCUCCAGCACAACAAUGAGCUGGCGCGGCUGCAGAUGCGCUUUGACCGUGCCCGCAGCGAUGUCAUCAUCUGGGUGAGGCAUCUCAGCUGUGCUGGGCAAGGAAUCUCGCUGGGCACACAUCCAGAAUACAGCAGCCAAGAAGACCCUAUUGCUUGGCACCAUUAAGAUGGCAACGCUGAACCUGUUCCAGAUCGUGAGCAAACAGCUAAAGGAGACAGCCCAAGUAUCCCUGGAGGACACGCACAAACAGCUGGACAUGAUCCAACAGUUUAUCCAAGACCUGUCGGACAUCUGGGCAGAGGUGAAGAGGAAGGAACAGCAGCAAAUCCGGGUGUAAGGGGGCAGCAUGGUUCCAGCAUGUUCUGAGACAGAUAUUGUGAAAAAGCAAGUUCCUGCUGAACUUCAGUCCCAGCCAGCCCUCAUCGUCUUCUGAGGACCCUUGUGACUUUCUGUUUGUGAAUACCUUGCCAUUUUCCCCCAGGGUCUCAGUCCAUCCAAGUCCUGAAAAUAUUAAAUGUUGUUAGAAGUUUGUUCUGAA